CAGAUGGACUAUCUAGUGUUAAAUCCACAUGAUUGGCGUGAUAGGAAGUGCAGAGAAGUAGCUAGGCAGACUGAGGGAGACUCUACAUACAUAGAUGCUAUAGAUCACCACUUUGUGCAAUUAUCCAUCAUCACAUAGACAUACAGGUUUCCAUUUGUUGGUUUUUUUGGAUUGCCUAUUAAGUCCAUGCCUAUCAAAGGGUUGUGAAACCUAAAAGGAAAGAGAAAACAAAAGUAUAAAUUAACUACAGUAAAUGGAGCAUUGUACUAAGGUUGCAAAAUUUGAGCAACAGAAUGUAGUUCAAAGGUCUUAAUGUUUGGCAUUAAGACCUUUGAAGCAGAAUACCAUAUUUUUAAAAGGACUAAGCAGUAAAUUUCAAAAUCAUGUAUUGGAAAGUUUUAGCAUUUCCUAUAUACAUUACAAUCAUAAAAAGCUAUAAAUUGUAGUUUUUGGACUACAAAGAAAUACUGUCACAGUUUUCCCAAGAGCUCUGACCAACAUGCAGAUAACACUUAGACGGAAAGGCAAAGGUUUUUUAGAUUUAUUUACACAAAUAAACGUAAUUGAUCUUCUGGAGCUGGAACACAGCAGUGACAGGACAGCGGCAUAUCAAUGGAGAGUCAGACAGAUUUGAAUCUUGGAACUUGCAAUGUGGAAACUUGAGCUGAUUUACAGGUUCAAUGAGUGAACACCACCAGGGAGGAACAAGUGGGGUCUUCACUGGAGGACAGGUUCUAACCAGGAAGUCUGUAACAGUUACAUGUUUGAUCACACAGGUCAGUUUCACCAGAGUCUUUAGAAGCAGGAGCGGUGGAGGGUGAGCAGGGUUCGACCGAGGAAGGUUCCUGGAGGAGCAGCUGACCACCGCCAGCUAGGACUGAGAACCAGUGACUGGCGGAUCUCCGGGAAUGUCAAGUUAAGCGCUGCCGCACAGCCGCACCUAGGCCUGGUUGCUGAAAGUCCCGGUGUGUGACAUUCACAUAUAGCCGGUGGGUUAUCGUCUUUCUCGACGCCGGGUGACUCUGGGGAUCCGACAGAGUCACCUAGAAGUCAACUCCGAGUGACUCUGGGAUCCGUGGGGGAAGCCUGACGUCGAGCGAAGCACCGCUGCACAGCCUCCAUU